GACAAUAGCUGAUUGACAUACAAUAUAAAAGACAUAAGUUAGUCUAAAGUCAGGAUAUAGAGAGCCUAAUCACCUGGGAGCAGCUGCUGCCAGAGAAGUCAAGAGUGCUUUGUUUGAGAGAACCACCAGGAGACAGACUGGAAAAGUGAAGCAAGAUCAGGCUUUGGUGUACACAGAGGUCCUGGCUUCAAAGCCAUCUGUAGCUGUGUAACCUGGGUGUCUGAAGGAGACUGGUAAAAGAGGAUGAUAUGUGGAUGAAGAAGAGGAUCUGACCUCUCCAGGGGGACAAAGCAGAGCUCACAGGGGUGCUAAAUGUUUCGACUGAGCCCUGAACCAUCAUCCACCAUCCACCCAUGUGUCCAUCCAUCCUUCCAUCCACUCAGUCAUUUAACAUGUGUGGAACAUCUGCAAAAUGCCAGAAACUGUGCUAAGGGAUGAAGGAUGAAGAAGUCAUGGUCCUUGUCUUUAAACUUCUAGAUCUGAGCAUCCUCCCCAAGAAACCACCCCAGAUACUCAAAGAGUGACAGGAACCCACCUGAAUUUAGUGCAAGGAAUUAGCGAUGUGACAAGAGAAGGCCUGACUUUUGAUGGAUACGAGAAUAGCUAUUUUCCUCAAGACUUUUGUAAGGUUACAAGUUUACUGGGCUGUCUUUCUUUUUGUUUAAUAACAUUGGUCAGAGGCUGCUUACCUGAUUCAUUCCUGUUGAUUCCUGCCUCUCAAGCCAAGGCUUCAGCUUAAGUAAUGCCUAGCAUUUGAUAAACACCAGGAGCAAAGGACUCAUGCUUUCUAGAAUGCCAAACUUAUCACUAAAUAAAUGUAUAAUGAAGAGAUGCCUGUCUGGCUUGUCAUAGUUGUGGCAUAAUCUUUGUUAGGUUCCAUGAGUAGAAACAAGAAACUCUAGCAGAAAUGCCAGGCCUUCAUCUAUCACUUCCUCUGCAACCAUACCCACCUCCGAGAGAACCUCUUCCUUAAGACUCAGUCCUAGUACCAGGGGCUCCAAGCCUGACCACAGCUGACUGUACCAAGUCAAGCUGGGAGAAUCCCUGUCGCUCCUCAGAAUUUAAGAAAAGAACUCAUAGAUUAAAUAGUUUAAAUUAAUCAGUGUUCAGUGCUUCAACUAGAAGGCUAUGUAAACUCGGGGUUGUGGCUACUUAGGGGGCUACUCUGGUUUACAUGAUAGAUACAUGAGCAGAAAGGCUCAUCUCUGAUAGAGACAAAUGAAGCAGAGAUGAGAAACUACCUACCUCACAACUCUCUAGGUCCUAUGACACCCCGCUAUGAGGCCGGCCACUGGGUUCUCAGUUAU
rnacentral:lncRNA from 1 species